rnacentral:rRNA from 1 species
AUUGAACGCUGGCGGCAUGCCUUACACAUGCAAGUCGAACGGCAGCACGGGGGCAACCCUGGUGGCGAGUGGCGAACGGGUGAGUAACAUAUCGGAACAUACCCUAGAGUGGGGGAUAACGUAGCGAAAGUUACGCUAAUACCGCAUACGAUCUAAGGAUGAAAGUGGGGGAUCUUCGGACCUCAUGCUCAUGGAGUGGCCGAUAUCUGAUUAGCUAGUUGGUGAGGUAAAGGCUCACCAAGGCGACGAUCAGUAGCUGGUUUGAGAGAACGACCAGCCACACUGGAACUGAGACACGGUCCAGACUCCUACGGGAGGCAGCAGUGGGGAAUUUUGGACAAUGGGGGGCAACCCUGAUCCAGCAAUGCCGCGUGAGUGAAGAAGGCCUUCGGUUGUAAGACUCUUUGUCUAGGGAAGAAACGGUA